AAAGAGAACAUAUUACUUUCAAAAUUUGAUCAUUUUGAAAUUAAUGCAACCUAAUGCAAGCAUUAUUGUCUUAAAAUGAUUACUGAGAUAUUUCAUACAUUUAAUGAAGAAAAUUGAGAAAUUUCAUAAAUAAUAAAGCUAGUGUGCUGUGAUUUUGAAGGCACAAAGUUAGAGCGAAUGAUUUGAGUUGCAGCGUUUUAUUAUGUAAAAUAAGUGUCAAUAUCAUUGAUUUGAGUUAUAGCGUUUUAUUAUGUAAAAUAGGAGUCAAUAUCAUUGAUUUGAGUUAUAGGAGUUUACUGUCUAAAACAGGUGUCAAUAUCAUUAUUACUUCACUUUCCAGGAUACUUUAUAAGCUCUUAAUAUAAUUUAGUUUAGUGGAGUGCACAGCAAAACAAGUAGUAUUCUCUGUUACUACAUAACUAUCUUUGCAACAGCUGUGCAUUUACCACUCUCAGCUGCUCCAGUUAUAUUAAUCAUCCCUUUAACAGCCUGACACCUGUCUCUUAUUAUAUUUGAGAACAGUUGUUAAUUUCUUUAAAUUUUCCCAUCCCUCUUAGUGCCUUUGCACUGCUUUAUUUCUCUAAUGCACAUUUAUAUGGUCUAUUAUAUUAAUUCUCUCAUUUAAUCUUGAGAACUUAAAAAUUAUUAGGAAGUUAAUUGUUCAGGGAUCAGAGGUUUUUCUCACUUACAGCAUAACUCUGUUAAAUGACACAGUUUGUUCCAGCUUCUUGCUGACCCUGCAAGGGAUUGUCUAGAACAAAGAGUUCAAUUACUUUCACAGUGCUAAUCAUAUAUCAUUAUGUAGAGGCAUGGAUCCUUAAUUCCCAAGCCAGCGCCCGAAGCAGCGUGGCAGCAAUAAAGGACACAUUCCAAAUUCCUCUGUCCACUGCAGCAUGCAGGUAAUAACUGAAGAAUAAAAUAAGUGCGUCUCCUUGGCUAUGCUCUUUACUAAUUUGAAUGCUUGAUGCCUACAAUGAAUCAUGUUCCAUUAAUUUUUAUUCACCGACACAAGAUUUUUGUCAGAAUUGAUUUGAGAUGCAUUGUUCCAGGACAAAUAUAUAUUUACACUUUAUUUUUUUGAGAACUUUUCCUCCAUGAUUUAGGAAACACUUUCUGGUCCUUUGUAAUUUUUCAAGGUACAAAUAAAAGUCAGGAAAUAACACUGACUUUUGAGUCUCACAGGUAAAGAAUUCCUCAGCGUUAACAAAGCCUGAGCGCUCCUUCUCCCCACACACUUUUAGACACAGAGGUUAAUGUGUAAUCCAGACCAUUCUCUUGCUCAGCUAUCCCAAGGUCAACAAAGAAACUGAAUCAGAGAGAAGAAUAUUUUGUUUGUUUCAUAGGCAGGGAAAUGGCUUAUGAAAUCUCAGAGCAGGGUGUAACCUCAUUAAGAUAAAUGUAAAAAUAACUCACCAAUCAUAAGUUAUGGAAACAGGAAAUCAACGCCUGUGUUUUACAACAAAGGCACUCUUACAUUUCCGGCAUAAAAAAAGCUUCUGUUACCAUUUUCUUUCCUCUCCUCCCCCCUCUCCUGCUAUCCUCUCUGUUUGGGCAGGAAACUUGGCUGACUCUGCUCAAGUUGUCUGCUGCCCUUUUGUUCUAUCAUCUGCCCAGCCGUGGUGGGAGAAGCCUGAUAAAUUUCCCCCGUCCCCCCGUGAGUAGGAUGAGUAACUUCCAAAUCUGGGAGAGUUACAGUCAAAUUGCCUUUUGGAAGAGAAACAUGGAUAGUGAGUGCAGUCCUUACUGUUAAACGCUUUUUUCUUGCUAAAGCUGCUCAGGAUCUUAUCACCUAUUUUUUUACCUGAUGUUUUGCAGGCUCCACGUAACUAAGAGCAUUAGAGAUGUUCUACGGUUGCAAGCACAUCAUUUUAUUUACAGAAAAUAACUCCAAAAGGAGUUUUGUAUUGUAAUCACUUCAAUCAAGUAGCGAGAUUGGCAAGUUAUUUAUGGGAUGCCUGGGGCAGCUCUUCUUCAGGCUGUGGCGACCAGGAUGGUUUCCUAUUAUGUAUCUCUCAUCCUUCUGAUAUGACCACAGCACCACUUGAGCAUCAAGUCUUUGAUUUUGCUACUAGCAAAAUGGUCUGGAUUAUCAUACCUAAAACUGUGUAGCUAAAGCCGAGAUACUGCUGGCAAGGCAAACUAUGGUCAUCCAGGGAUUUUUGCCUUAUUUCAGUCAUUAAGGUCAUACCGCAAGAACUUGGUCCCAAAUGUGUACAGAAGGAUACGUGCUCAAUAUCAGAGAAAUAGAGAACUAGUGUAACUUCUGGAUCUUUGCACAUUUGGUACGCUGAUGCAAGUCUGAGAUGUGCUAACAGACAAUGGUUACUCCAUCAGCCUGGAUUCCAGAGAGAGAAGACAUGGAGCAAAACCUCUGGACAACAUGUACAGGACAUGCAGUGUGUUGAAGUUCAAAGACAAAUAAGACACAGUUGCAGUUCUUGAGAUAUUUGUCAUCUGAUGGAUGAAAGAAACACAAACAAAUGUUUUGAAGUGAAAUAAAAGAGAAUGUGAAGUCAGACCAUUGCCAGACACAAAGGAAUACCUGUGACAUAGCCAACUUGUAAUGCAGCCACUAACACAAAGGGAGAGGUGGGCAUAAGGCAGGGAGUAAAUGGAGGGGUGAAUAGUAAGAACUAAUUAAAUGCUUGUUUACUGGAUCUUGAAAUUAUUGGAGAUUUUUGUCAAAUGUUUAAUUUUCGUAUGCAAUCUAGACUAUUAGUACAAUUUUGCAUAUUACAUUUAGAGAAUAACAUGUUUGUAUAAUAACAUUAAAAUUUUUUCUAAUUUUUCUGUAUAUUAUAUGCACUAAAACCUUGUAAAAUAUAUUAACUCCUCUUCCAAAAAUCAAUAAUCUAUCAUCUUGAAGAAGGCACUUAUUUGCUCAAAGUUACAUGUAGAUAAAAUUCUAUGACCUUUCUUUCCUUGUAGGUGAUAUUUUGAUGAGAGAAGGUACAUAGCAAGAGACCUCCUGUUUAUAUGAAGGAAACUACAGCUUUUAGAUUUCUAAUGUUAGUGGAGGAGAAUUUGACUGAGCUAAACAUGUUGAAAAUUCAGCCUCGACAGCUGGAAAAGAUAAAUGAAAUCCAGUUUUUCUGCCUGAGUCAUUAUUUAAGUUCCUGCUUGGGAUUAGGAUAGGACUUGAAGGCAUCACCUUCUAUAGAUCAUCUGCCUUGCUCCUAGAUGCUUCCAUUUAUACUGGGUAAAUCUGCCCCAGCAGAGAUGAUUUAUAGGGGAUGAUAUUCCUUGUAUACCAUAAAUGUCACUAAAUUAUACCAGGAAAUUAAAAAAGCAAUUAAUUUAGAAAAAAAUUAAGUAUAUGAAUAAUUUUUAAAAUCCUAGAAGUUAAUAGUAGUUCAGUUCCAUCUGGAAUGUUACAAAAUCGAAAGCCCUAGGUAUAACUUCUUGAGCAACUGCUCAGAAAUCUGACUUUUAAAAAUUGCCAAAGAGCAAAGAACUGGAAUGGGAAUCAUAUGAUGAUGCAUAUGACAAAAGCAUAAGAAGUUAUGUAAUUUUAUUCCUCUGGAUUGAUAGACUGUCUUAGAGGUUGGAGUCUUGGUUUCCUAUGUAAAGGUAUACAACUCAUUUUUGAUGCCUAAAUACUAAGUGAAUAACUCAAUUAUAAUCUGUCAUCGAAUUAAACAUGAAAAUAGACUUUUUAUUUCAACUUAAUAAAAAUAUUUUAUAUUAAUUGAACACAUACCUACCAUGUGCAAGGCACUGAGUGAAAUAAACACGUAAGGAAUGCACAGGAUCUGCUCUCAAGGAAUUUUAAUCUAGUAGAAGAAAGAAAGCAGACACUCAGGAAAGGAUGGAGCACAUUCCAAAUAGUAAAUUACAGACUUUCAGUGAGUAAUAAAAUCAUGCUAAGGCACUCAGAAAGCAGAGUAUUUCCAGCUAUGGUAGUCAGGAGACUUCUAAUGGAGGUGAUGAAGGCAAUUAUAUUUGAACUGUCUCUUGAAGAAUGAGUAAGAUUUGAAUGGAUGUAAAUGAGUGGGAAACUUUUCCAUGGAAGAGUAUUAGUAAACAUGUAAAUAGGAAAAUACAAUUGAGCUGACUUGGUAGGUUACAGAUGACAAUUCAUGAAAGACAGUUAUGAGAAAAACUGUUAAGGGAGGUUGGGACCCUGUUUGUAAUGGGCAUUGAAACCUGUGCUAGGAAUGUAGACUCUAAUAACCAUCGAUAUCACGAGUCUUUCACAAUAAGCAAGGGAGUUUUAUGAUUGAAGCAGUGCUCUAAUAGUUCUAGAAAGAUUGCAGAGGAGAGCAGUGAAGCAAGAAGGCCAUAAAGAUGCUGUUAAGUGUCCAGGCACCACAUCUCAAGAUAAGGGGACUGGGGGCAAGGGAUUUUUAAUUAGAUCUAUUUGUAUAAAAUGAAUAAAAUUUGAAGAGUGAUUAGAUAUUGUUGGUCUUAGGAACAAUACAAAGAAAAGUAAUGACUCCAUAAAUGAAAAUACACAGGUCUGGAGAGAGAAUUGGAAAGGGCAAUACAAAUGGAAAUUCCCACCAUAUUCUUUCUUAUAAGGAAAGAAAUUUUAGAGCUACAUCAUUGCCGAAGGAAAAUAUUUGUAGUCAUCAGUACAGCUAUGAAAGUUGAAGCCAAGAGGGUGGGCAGGCUUCUUAUGGCCUCCAUACAAGAUGAGAAGAGUCAUAUAGCAAAGGCUAUGAUUAGGGCAUGCUCACAAUUAAUCCCAUAAAGAAUCCAGUAUAGGACAAGGGAAUGAGUUUUCAAAAAAUUAAAAGGACUAGAAGAGAUAGAGUAUUACUGAAUCUAAAAAAGUCUUAAAAAGAAAAGUUGGUAGUUUCCUAAGGUACAACAGAAAGAUGAACAAAGGACUGGCAGCCAGCCAUCCUAACGUACGGUUAUGAGGUACCUGUAGGAUUCUAAAGGUGCAGGUUUCAGAAAGUGAAGAAUAAGGGGGAGUACAUGCAUAAUUCAGGCCUGACAGGUUAUCAGUUUUGGGUUCUCUCCAUUCAAUCAUUCACAACAUAUUUGUGGAGCACCUCCAAUGAGCUUUAGGGGUUGGGGAUAGAGCAGUGGACAAAACAAAUUCUUUCUCAUGCUUCUUAUAUUCUAACAGGGAAAUAAAUGUAUAUCAAGUGGUGAUGAGUUAAAGAAGAAAAAUAGGAAAGAAUGGGGAUAUCUAAGGGAUUCAUAGUCCCCAACUUAAAAGGGGAUGCUUUUUCUUUUUUAUAUUUAUUUUAUUUAUUAUCAUUUAUUUUUGGCUGCGUUGGGUCUUCGUUGCUGCGCGCAGGCUUUCUCUAGUUGUGGUGAGCGGGGGCUACUCUUCGUUGCGGUGCGCGGGCUUCUCAUUGUGGUGGCUUCUCUUGUUGCAGAGCACAGGCUCUAGGCGCGCGGGCUCAGUAGUUGUACAGCAUGGGCUUAGCUGCUCUGAGGCAUGCGGGAUCUUCCUGGACCAGGGCUCGAACCUGUGUCCCCUGCAUUAGCAGGCGGAUUCUUAACCACUGUGUCUCCAGGGAAGCCCCAGGGAUGCUUUUUCUUCUCUUAUUUACCAGUGUUCCAUCUUUGCAUCAGACUCAAGCAUGGCCACAGGCUUAUUUCAAGAAUUAUUGAAAAAGUGCAAAAUGCCAUUGGAGAAUGGAGUCACUUCUUGGCCUCGCCCUUUCUUGUGUUUCUAGAACACACUCCUUAGAAUGUAUGACUCUAUUCAUGUAGUUUAUACAGGAGAAGAACUAGCCCUUUCUGUAAAAUUUUAGAAUUUUGUAGAAGCUGUGGGUAGAAAAAUAAAACGGAGGAAAUACAGUGCCAGUCCCAAGAUAUCUUUUUCUCUAUGUCUGUCUUAAACAGAUCAGAAAGAAGAUCAAGUUAUUUUAUUUUAAGGAAUUGGUUUCCUUAAAUGUAUUAAGGACCAUAUUAACACAACACACAUGUGCCUCCUACUGACAUGGCUUGAGUAUAUUUUCAUCUAAACUCAGUGGAAUGGACAAAUAUGAAACCUUCUCCAAUAAUUCAUGGUUCCGUGUUGGAAGAGUUAUAGCCUUCAGCAUGUGCAAAUAAAUGCAUAAGCAAGUUUUGAUUUAAUUUAACACUUUUUGCAAGGUCAGUUUGCUUAAUAAGGAAUAUGAAUGAAUAAGGAAACCAUGUUUCAAGCAGGACAGAAAUCAAUGCUGAGUGCUGGAGAGAAGGCCCUUUCACUACCUUGAUUAACCUUGCACUUCUUUCUUAAAAUGAAUAUAUCUAUAAACACAGGAAAUUUCACUCUUCCCCAAACAAAAGGUAAUUAAAAUUGCCUUAUGUGUCUGUUUAGUGGAGGAUAUGUGAUGAUAUUCUGCCUUUAUUUUAAACAACCUUUGGUAUUAAAUGUUGUCUUACCUAAAAAGCAAUAUGGCAGAAUGACUUUUAUUACAGAUGGUAAUUUAUGAAAAAUGUAGCCAAAGGAAUUGAUGUCAAACUUUUGUCUGCAAGCUCUAUUUACUUUCAUAUUGCUCACUAUUUACCAAGGUUUGCUAUAGCACUAGGCACUAUCUCAGCUGGCAUUCUGCCUGUUUAUAUUUUUUAAAGUGGUUUUGUUUUUUAUUCUCAUACAGCGUUGGAGCUAAUUACAGCUGCUCACUCUUCUAGUGCAACCCCCAAAGCUCUCCGUUUUCUUUGGGUUUUGCUUUUACUCACAGGCAUAAUAUUUUUUUUUCCAUUUUGUGUCUGAUCCUCUUUCAUAUACAGCCAGGAGAGGAGCGUCCUCUGCCACAGAGAAUGAAAAGGCUUUUAGAACUAAUUUUCAUUUGCUGUGCAGUGCCCAUGGCGUUCUUGGAGUGUGUGAUGUGCUAUCAUCAGGUUUUGAUUAUGCAAUUGAAAUGCAAAAAGUUUAAAAUCUCAGCUUUAUUGGCCUUAUCAGCAGUUUGCACUCUUCCAAAAGCUCUGUUAGAGCAAAUACAUGAUCACAUUUGGUUUAAAACUACUACAUGUUUUAAGAAAAGGAAUCUAAUAGAUGAUGCUUACAGAGAAACUGGUGUUUUGAAAUUUUAUACGGUAUUUUUAUGCCAAUUUUGUUCUUUUUUUUCCUGUUAAAUGUUGUCUUAUUUGAAUAUGAUUUAAAUUUGGAAAAAGUGCGCAAAUGUACCUUGUCUCUCAAUUUGCUGGCAAAGA